GCGACGCCAUCUUGACGGACGUGUUUUUCCGCUCCGAGUGUAAACAAAUCUCGAUAUUCUCGAGUUCCGUGUGCUUUUUUCCCCCUUUUUUUUUCUUUCCUUCCUUUCUUCUGGUCUUCUUUACUUGGAGGAGAGGAAGAGGGGAAGAGAAGAGAGUGUUUAAUGCCGAAUCCCCAGUGACGAAAAGAAGGAGGAGGAGAGAGAAAAGAAAAUCGAUGGAAAGAGAGAAACGAGAAAACAAGAAACGUAAACAAAAACUUCGAAAAACUGUAAACAAGAAUAAGAAAAAAAUAAUAAUAAUAUUAACCCUCAAUAAACGGCCUCGAAAUAAAGAAGUGAAGAACAAGUGCACCCGAGAACCAACGAAAGAGAGUGCGAAGAGAGGGAGAAGUGAAUAAACGGGGGAGAAAUACGCAACGCCCAAGAGUGGAUUUUUCGAAAGGUCUGCAGCGAAGGAGGAUUAGGAAUUCGCUCUUACGGAUUUAUUUUUCUCCUCG